UACGGAGGGUGCAAACGUUGCUCGGAAUCAUUGGGCGUAAAGCGCACGUAGGCGGUCUGGUAAGUCGGGUGUGAAAGCCCUCGGCUUAACCGAGGAAGUGCAUUCGAAACUACCAGACUUGAGUACUGAAGAGGGUCGCGGAAUUCCCGGUGUAGAGGUGAAAUUCGUAGAUAUCGGGAGGAACACCAGUGGCGAAGGCGGCGACCUGGGCAGAUACUGACACUGAGGUGCGAAAGCGUGGGGAGCAAACAGG
rnacentral:rRNA from 1 species